rnacentral:rRNA from 1 species
CGCGGCCUAUCAGCUUGUUGGUGGGGUAGUGGCCUACCAAGGCGACGACGGGUAGCCGGCCUGAGAGGGUGACCGGCCACACUGGGACUGAGACACGGCCCAGACUCCUACGGGAGGCAGCAGUGGGGAAUAUUGCGCAAUGGGCGGAAGCCUGACGCAGCGACGCCGCGUGGGGGAUGACGGCCUUCGGGUUGUAAACCUCUUUCAGCAGGGACGAAGCGAAAGUGACGGUACCUGCAGAAGAAGCACCGGCCAACUACGUGCCAGCAGCCGCGGUAAUACGUAGGGUGCAAGCGUUGUCCGGAAUUAUUGGGCGUAAAGAGCUCGUAGGCGGUUUGUUGCGUCGGCUGUGAAAUCCCGAGGCUCAACCUCGGGUCUGCAGUCGAUACGAGCAAACUAGAGUGUUGCAGGGGAGACUGGAAUUCCUGGUGUAGCGGUGAAAUGCGCAGAUAUCAGGAGGAACACCGGUGGCGAAGGCGGGUCUCUGGGCAACAACUGACGCUGAGGAGCGAAAGCGUGGGGAGCGAACAGGAUUAGAUACCCUGGUAGUCCACGCCGUAAACGUUGGGCGCUAGGUGUGGGGCUCAUUCCACGAGUUCCGUGCCGCAGCUAACGCAUUAAGCGCCCCGCCUGGGGAGUACGG